UACAGAGGGUGCGAGCGUUAAUCGGAAUUACUGGGCGUAAAGCGCACGUAGGUGGCGACGUAAGUCGGGUGUGAAAGCCCGGGCUCAACCUGGGAAUUGCAGCUGAUACUGUAGAGCUAGAGUACUGUAGAGGGAAGCGGAAUUUCCGGUGUAGCGGUGAAAUGCGUAGAUAUCGGAAGGAACAUCGGUGGCGAAGGCGGCUUUCUGGACAGAUACUGACACUGAGGCACGAAAGCAUGGGGAGCAAACAGG
rnacentral:rRNA from 1 species